rnacentral:rRNA from 1 species
UCAAAGUGUAUAUCGUCAUUGCUGCGGUUAAAAAGCUCGUAGUUGGAUCUGCGUCUCAGGACCUGGUCCAUCCAUUGGAUGAGAACUGGGCUCCUAGGCUAAUAUUGCCAGUUUUCCUUACGUUACCUUAAUUGGUUGCGUAUGGUGGCUAGCAAGUUUACCUUGAAAAAAUUAGAGUGCUCAAUGCGGGCUAAUGCCUGAAUACUCGUGCAUGGAAUAAUGAAAUAGGAUCUCGGUUCUAUUUUGUUGGUUUUCUGAUCUGAGAUAAUGGUUAAGAGGGACGGACGGGGGCAUUCGUAUCGCUGCGUGAGAGGUGAAAUUCUUGGACCGUAGCGAGACGUACGACUGCGAAAGCAUUUGCCAAGAAUGUCUUCAUUAAUCAAGAACGAAAGUCAGAGGUUCGAAGGCGAUCAGAUACCGCCCUAGUUCUGACCGUAAACGAUACCAACUAGCGUUCCGUCGGCGGUAAAUACGCCUUGACGGGCAGCUUCCCGGAAACGAAAGUUUUUCGGUUCCGGGGGAAGUAUGGUUGCAAAGCUGAAACUUAAAGAAAUUGACGGAAGGGCACCACCAGGAGUGGAGCCUGCGGCUUAAUUUGACUCAACACGGGAAAACUCACCUGGCCCGGACACCGUGAGGAUUGACAGAUUGAGAGCUCUUUCAUGAUUCGGUGGUUGGUGGUGCAUGGCCGUUCUUAGUUGGUGGAGUGAUUUGUCUGGUUUAUUCCGAUAACGAGCGAGACUCUAGCCUACUAAAUAGUUACUGAAUAAUUUUUGGUUCAGACAACUUCUUAGAGGGACAAGCGGUGUUUAGCCGCAUGAAGUUGAGCAAUAACAGGUCUGUGAUGCCCUUAGAUGUCCAGGGCUGCACGCGCGCUACACUGGAGGAAUCAGCGUGCUGUAACCAUUACCGAAAGGUAUUGGUAACCCCUUGAAAAUCCUCCGUGAUCGGGAUCGGGAAUUGCAAUUAUUUCCCUUGAACGAGGAAUUCCUAGUAAGUGUGAGUCAUCAGCUCACGUUGAUUACGUCCCUGCCCUUUGUACACACCGCCCGUCGCUGCCCGGGACUGAGCCGUUUCGAGAAAAGCGGGGACUACUGUUUCGAAACCAUUUAUUGGUGGAGAUUCUUUGGUGGAAACCGCUUUAAUCGCAGUGGCUUGAACCGGGCAAAA